GACGAACGCUGGCGGCGUGCCUAACACAUGCAAGUCGAACGGAGAUAUGAUUUCGGUUGUAUCUUAGUGGCGAACGGGUGAGUAACGCGUGAGCAACCUGACUCUUAGAGGGGGAUAACACUCGGAAACGGGUGCUAAUACCGCAUAAGACCACGACAUGGCAUCAUGACGAGGUCAAAGGAGCAAUCCGCUGAGAGAGGGGCUCGCGUCCCAUUAGAUAGACGGCGGGGUAACGGCCCACCAUGUCAACGAUGGGUAGCCGAGCUGAGAGGCGGAUCGGCCACACUGGAACGGAGACACGGUCCAGACUCCUACGGGAGGCAGCAGUGGGGAAUAUUGGGAAAUGGGCGCAAGCCUGACCCAGCAACGCCGCGUGAGGGAAGAAGGCUUUCGGGUUGUAAACCUCUGUCCUUGGUGACGAAAAAAAUGACGGUAGCCAAGGAGGAAGCCCCGGCUAACUACGUGCCAGCCGCCGCAGUAA
rnacentral:rRNA from 1 species